rnacentral:rRNA from 1 species
AGUGCUUGCACUUGACGACGACCGGCGCACGGGUGCGGAACGCGUAUGGAACCUACCUUUAUCAGGGGGAUAGCCCAUGGAAACGUGGAUUAAUACCCCAUAGUAUUAUUUCAUUGCAUGAUGAUUUAAUUAAAGAAUUUCGGAUAGAGAUGGCCAUGCGUAUCAUUAGCUAGUAGGCGAGGUAACGGCUCACCUAGGCGACGAUGAUUAGGGGUCCUGAGAGGGAGAUCCCCCACACUGGUACUGAGACACGGACCAGACUCCUACGGGAGGCAGCAGUGAGGAAUAUUGGGCAAUGGAGGCAACUCUGACCCAGCCAUGCCGCGUGCAGGAAGACGGCCCUAUGGGUUGUAAACUGCUUUUAUACAGGAAGAACACCACCCACGUGUGGGUGACUGACGGUACUGUAAGAAUAAGGACCGGCUAACUCCGUGCCAGCAGCCGCGGUAAU